UGUUGUUGCAAUAGUAAUCCUGCUCAGUACGAGAGGAACCGCAGAUUCAGACCCCUGGUGCGUGCGCUUGGCUGAGGAGCCACUGGCGUGAGGCUACCAUCUGCGGGCUUAUGACUGAACACCUUUAAGUCAGAAUCCCACCUAGACGUAGCGAUACCGCAGUGCCACCGGCGCCUCAGUGGGCUCAUGAUAGCCGGCCACCCGCCCUGCGCCAGGCGGGCCCAGUGUGGAGCGCCACUCGUGGUCGAGACCGGAGGGGUGGACAGAUGUGGCGCCACCUCUCCACUGUAGCGUACCGCAUGAUCAUGGGGCACCCAGCACUAAAUCAUUUGUAGAUGACCUGAUUCUGGGUCAGGGUUUCGUACAUAGCAGAGCAGCUCCCUCGCUGCGAUGUAUUGAGAAUCAGCCCUCGACACAAACUUUU
rnacentral:ncRNA from 1 species